GAUGAAGAACGCAGCGAAAUGCGAUAAGUAAUGUGAAUUGCAGAAUUCAGUGAAUCAUCGAAUCUUUGAACGCACAUUGCGCCCGCCAGUAUUCUGGCGGGCAUGCCUGUUCGAGCGUCAUUUCAACCAUCAAGCCCCCGGCUUGUGUUGGGGACCUGCGGCUGCCGCAGGCCCUGAAAACCAGUGGCGGGCUCGCUAGUCACUCCGAGCGUAGUAAUACAUCUCGCUCAGGGCGUGCUGCGGGUUCCGGCCGUUAAAAAGCCUUAUUUACCCAAGGUUGACCUCGGAGCAGGUAGGAAGACCCGCUGAACUUAAGCAUAUCAAUAAGCGGAGGA
rnacentral:misc_RNA from 1 species